ACAUGAUGAUACAAGAGAAUGGUUUCGCUUUCAUGAGCUGAUGUCAUGUGAUGUCACAUUUCUCUUGGCUGUCUGAAUUU
ensembl:snoRNA Small nucleolar RNA SNORD53/SNORD92